WUUGUAGACCCGNNUGAAUGGCNNAAUGAKGAUCUANCUGUCUCUUGUGGUUAAUCAAUUAAACUGAUCUCCCAGUCCAAAAGCUGGGAUAUAAACAUAAGACCAGAAGACCCCGUGAAGCUUAAACUAAAAUAUUAAAACACAUAAUACCUCCUUUCGGUUGGGGCGACCUUGGAAAGAAACAGAACUUCCAAAAAAAAGACCUACUAUCAACCACACAAGGCAAACAAGCCAACAAUAGACCCAGUCCAGACUGAGCAUUGAAACAAGUUACUCCGGGGAUAACAGCGCUAUCUUCUUCAAGAGCCCAUAUCAAAAAGAAGGUUUACGACCUCGAUGUUGGAUCAGGACAUCCCAGUGGUGCAGCAGCUACUAAAGGUUCGUUUGUUCAACGAUUAAUAGUCCCACGUGAUCUGA
rnacentral:rRNA from 1 species